CGGUGUUUAACUGGCGUGAUGUGGGACGUCCUACCGGUGGGCUUAGCCUCGCGAGGGGCGGCCCAACUAAUAUCCCGUCGCGGUGCUCUUUACUGAGUGUCGAGUCGGGCCGGUACGUUUACUUUGAACAAAUUAGAGUGCUUAAAGCAGGCUAUCCUCGCCUGAAUACUGCGUGCAUGGAAUAAUGGAAUAGGACCUCGGUUCUAUUUUGUUGGUUUUCGGAACCCCGAGGUAAUGAUUAAUAGGGACAGAUGGGGGCAUUCGUAUUGCGACGUUAGAAGUGAAAUUCUUGGAUCGUCGCAAGACGGACAGAAGCGAAAGCAUUUGCCAAAAAUGUUUUCAUUAAUCAAGAACGAAAGUUAGAGGUUCGAAGGCGAUCAGAUACCGCCCUAGUUCUAACCAUAAACGAUGCCAGCUAGCGAUCCGCCGAAGUUCCUCCGAUGACUCGGCGGGCAGCUUCCGGGAAACCAAAGCUUUUGGGUUCCGGGGGAAGUAUGGUUGCAAAGCUGAAACUUAAAGGAAUUGACGGAAGGGCACCACCAGGAGUGGAGCCUGCGGCUUAAUUUGACUCAACACGGGAAACCUCACCAGGCCCAGACACCGGAAGGAUUGACAGAUUGAUAGCUCUUUCUUGAUUCGGUGGGUGGUGGUGCAUGGCCGUUCUUAGUUGGUGGAGCGAUUUGUCUGGUUAAUUCCGAUAACGAACGAGACUCUAGCCUGCUAAAUAGGCGUACCUUAUGGUAUCGCGAAGGCCCCCGGCUUCGGCCGGUGGGUUUUUACUACCAACGUACAAACAAAUCUUCUUAGAGGGACAGGCGG
rnacentral:rRNA from 1 species